rnacentral:rRNA from 1 species
GGGCCCGCACAAGCGGUGGAGCAUGUGGUUUAAUUCGACGCAACGCGAAGAACCUUACCUGGGUUUGACAUGCAUCAGACAGGUGUAGAAAUACACCCUCCCUUCGGGGCUGGUGCACAGGUGCUGCAUGGCUGUCGUCAGCUCGUGUCGUGAGAUGUUGGGUUAAGUCCCGCAACGAGCGCAACCCUCGUCCUUAGUUGCCAGCGGAUAACGCCGGGCACUCUAGAGAGACUGCCGGUGGUAAGCCGGAGGAAGGUGGGGAUGACGUCAAGUCCUCAUGGCCCUUACGCCCAGGGCUACACACGUGCUACAAUGGCCGAAACAAAGGGUUCCGAUGCCGCGAGGUGGAGGUAAUCCCAAAAAAUCGGUCUCAGUUCGGACUGCAGUCUGCAACUCGACUGCACGAAGGCGGAAUCGCUAGUAAUCGCUGAUCAGCAGGCAGCGGUGAAUACGUUCCCGGGCCUU